AUGAAACAAGCCGGUAUCGCCUUUAAUUCCGCCUCAUUCAACAAUCUCCUCUCUUUCCUCAUCAAAUUCUCUCACAACAACAAUACUAAUUUCCACUUUGUUAUUGAUAUAUUGGAUUAUAUCCAGUCACAAAAGCUUCAUCCUUUAGUCUUUUAUCGGCUGAGGACUGUUCGGAUUCCAUUAUUGUUGGUUCUUCGAAUUACUUGCUUUCGGCUCUUAGGAAAGCCCGGAUGA